CUGCCUUGCUGAAGAUAUCCAGAAAGAAAAGCUUGGAAAUGCAGAAUGAGCUCUGCCCUGGGAGUUGUGGUCUCUGGAGAGCCCUAGCUGGAAUUCUGAGCAAAAAUCUGAGUUUUUGCUGUGGACAUCACCAACUAAGGCCUCGGUGGAACAGGCAAAGAGAGCAGACCAAUUAGCACUCAAGACCAGAACUCGAUUCAGGGUGCUGAGUUGGAGAAGAGAAGACCGUCAAUGCUGUGAUUUCUCUCCCACUGCCCACGCCCACCAUCAGGCAAACCUGGAGCAGCACUCUCAGGUCCCUGAUGCAGAGCUUCUCAAAACAAAAACAAAACCUUGGAACUUCCUGAGUGACAGCCGUAACAGGACUGUCCUUUGCUAUUUGAAACAAGCCUCUUUCAAUCGUGCCUGACUUUCUGCUAAUAAGCAACGCUGUGACUCAGGUACAUUUUUUCAUCAUCAUCAUCUUACAUAUGAGAAAAAAUCAAGGCUUGCAAAGGUUACCCAGCAAGGAAACAGAAGAACUCAAAUCUGAACCAAGGUAGCCUGAGUUCAGAGCU
rnacentral:lncRNA from 1 species